CUUCUGUAGGGUGAACCUGCGGAGGGUUCAUUACCGAGUUUACAACUCCCAAACCCAAUGUGAACGUUACCAAACUGUUGCCUCGGCGGGGUCACGCCCCGGGUGCGUCGCAGCCCCGGAACCAGGCGCCCGCCGGAGGAACCAACCAAACUCUUUCUGUAGUCCCCUCGCGGACGUAUUUCUUACAGCUCUGAGCAAAAAUUCAAAAUGAAUCAAAACUUUCAACAACGGAUCUCUUGGUUCUGGCAUCGAUGAAGAACGCAGCGAAAUGCGAUAAGUAAUGUGAAUUGCAGAAUUCAGUGAAUCAUCGAAUCUUUGAACGCACAUUGCGCCCGCCAGUAUUCUGGCGGGCAUGCCUGUCCGAGCGUCAUUUCAACCCUCGAACCCCUCCGGGGGAUCGGCGUUGGGGAUCGGGACCCCUCACACGGGUGCCGGCCCCUAAAUACAGUGGCGGUCUCGCCGCAGCCUCUCCUGCGCAGUAGUUUGCACAACUCGCACCGGGAGCGCGGCGCGUCCACGUCCGUAAAACACCCAACUUUCUGAAAUGUUGACCUCGGAUCAGGUAGGACUGCCCGCUGCAUUUAAGCAUAUCAAUAAGCCCGGAGGAA
rnacentral:rRNA from 1 species